rnacentral:rRNA from 1 species
UACGAAGGGGGCUAGCGUUGCUCGGAAUCACUGGGCGUAAAGGGCGCGUAGGCGGCGUUUUAAGUCGGGGGUGAAAGCCUGUGGCUCAACCACAGAAUGGCCUUUGAUACUGAGAGGCUUGAGUCCGGGAGAGGUGAGUGGAACUGCGAGUGUAGAGGUGAAAUUCGUAGAUAUUCGCAAGAACACCAGUGGCGAAGGCGGCUCACUGGCCCGGUACUGACGCUGAGGUGCGAAAGCGUGGGGAGCAAACAGG